rnacentral:lncRNA from 1 species
GAACUAGUGGCUUUACGGUCCCACCCGACCCUCUUGAGAACUAGUGGCUUUACGGUCCCACCCGACCUUCUCGAGAACUAGUGGCUUUAUGGUCCCACCCGACCCUCUCAAGAACUAGUGGCUUUACGGUCCCACCCGACCCUCUCAAGAUGUCAUACUAUGUCACCGAGCCACGUGCAUUCUCUAGGAAGACAUACCGAGUCUCCGAGCCACGUGCAUUCUCUAAGGCUACCUUUUCGCCAAGAUGACAUAUCAAAUCACCGAGCCACGUGUCU